UGUCAAUCUAAGAGUCCAUCAUCUUGCCGAAGCCAAGGUUUAACAGCACUUUGGCACUUACAUGAAAGAAUUUUCUGUGCAUAUAUGACACAAUUCCCUGUGGUGAAGACUUUCAGAAGGGACAGAACCAGCAGUGCAAGGAAUGGCACCAGGGAAUUGCUGUGGUUUAGUAACCAUAGGUUCUGAUGGCUUAUUAUUAGACUGCUUUGCUGCACUGAAGAAACACCAC